rnacentral:other from 1 species
AGUACCCUGCCUGGUGCGUGGUUACGAGCCAAAUCUCUGACCCGUUAAUAAUGCUACCGGGGAGCUUGAAUUCCGUGGCGCCCUUAGGCCCUUCUAUAGGGAUCUGGAACCCACGGGCUAAAGCACCCACCUUGUUCUGCGGAACAGAAAUUGACUCCGUCACGGCCAAGGUGGGGUAUUC